rnacentral:rRNA from 1 species
AUCUUUAAGGAGUGGUUAAUCGUUUCUUGCCUUUAUUUGUGGAAAACGGGUAUUUUAAGCAAAAAAUUGUAUUUUGUCUGGAUAAGUAAUAUAAUGAAAGUUCAUAAUUAGGUUAUAGUUUAGUUUGUACUGUGUAGGAUAGAUGAUUUGGUUAGUAUAAAGAAGAUGUUAGCUCUUGUACCUUUUGUAUCAGGGAUAACCAAAAUGCUUGGUUUAUUAGCUUGGAUCUCGAAGUGAAAUGAGCGAGUAAGUUAAAGUUGUUUAUGUAGAACAAUGAAAUUAUAAAUAAUUUACUGGUGAUGAAAUGUCAGUCGACUUUUAUAUAUCUAGUUUUUUUUGAAAAAAAUUUAAUUUGGCUUCUUAUCAUAUNUGGUACGAAGGGUAUCUUAAGAGGGAAGAGCUUCUUAAGAAAUGAGCACAGUAUAUAAAAUUUUAUUUUCUUUUAUUUAGGCUUAAGAUCAGCCAUUUUGUUAAAUCGUUUUAGAUAAUAAGGUUUAAAGAAUUUAUUUAUAUUUGGCUUGCUGUUGAGUAGAGAAAACUUAAUUUUAACUUAUUUUAUAAUGUUAUAAUGUUUGUAUUAGUAGAUUAUGUUUUGUGAGUUGUCUAUAUAAAUUUUUUGUAGAAAUUUUAUGAUUUGCGAGAGACAAAGUUAAGGAACUCGGCAAAUGUUACUUCUGCCUGUUUAUCAAAAACAUGUCUGCACGGUCGAAUAAAUGUGCAGUCUGGCCUGCCCCCUGAGAACUUUAAAGGGCCGCGGUAUCUGGACCGUGCUAAGGUAGCAUAAUAAAUAGUCUUUUAAUUGGAGUCUAGUAUGAAUGGUCGGACAUGAAGUAAGCUGUUUUAACUUUGAUGCUUGAAUUUUACCUUUAAGUGAAAAGGCUUAGAUUGGAUGGUGGGACGAUAAGACCCUAUAAAGCUUUACGUUUUACUUAUCAGUUGUGAGAAUUAGGGUUUCUUAUUCUUAUUGAGUAGAGCGUUCCGUUGGGGCGACGGAAAUAUAAAUAAGUAACUGUUUUUGCUUGCAAAAUAUGAUUUUAUAGAUGAGUUGAUCCUUUCUAGAGAUUAUAAGACUUGAGUUACUUUAGGGAUAACAGCGUAAUUUAUCUUGAGAGUUCAUAUCGACAGAUAUAGUUGCGACCUCGAUGUUGAAUUAAAAUACCCCCUAGGUGUAGCAGUUUCGGUGGUAGGUCUGUUCGACCUUUAAAAUUUU